GACAGAGGCCCCAAGCGUUAGGCGGAAUCACUGGGCUUAAAGCGUGUGUAGGCGGACGCCUAAGUGUCUUGUGAAAUCCCACGGCUCACCCGUGGAACUGCUGGGCAUACUGGGCGUCUUGGGCCAACUAGGGGCAGCCGGAACAAGCGGUGGAGCGGUGAAAUGCGUAGAUAUCAGGAGGAAUACCGAUGGCGAAGGCAGGUCUCUGGGCUGAUACUGACGCUCAUGCACGAAAGCGUGGGGAGCAACCAGG
rnacentral:rRNA from 1 species